UACGUAGGUGGCAAGCGUUGUCCGGAUUUAUUGGGUUUAAAGGGUGCGUAGGCGGUUCCAUAAGUCAGUGGUGAAAUACGGCAGCUCAACUGUCGAGGUGCCAUUGAUACUGCGGAACUUGAGUGUUGAUGAGGCAGGCGGAAUUGACGGUGUAGCGGUGAAAUGCUUAGAUAUCGUCAAGAACACCGAUAGCGAAGGCAGCUUGUCAAGCAACAACUGACGCUCAGGCACGAAAGUGCGGGGAUCAAACAGG
rnacentral:rRNA from 1 species